AUUGAACGCUGGCGGCAGGCUUAACACAUGCAAGUCGAGCGGAGAUGAGGUGCUUGCACCUUAUCUUAGCGGCGGACGGGUGAGUAAUGCUUAGGAAUCUGCCUAUUAGUGGGGGACAACAUUCCGAAAGGAAUGCUAAUACCGCAUACGUCCUACGGGAGAAAGCAGGGGAUCUUCGGGCCUUGCGCUAAUAGAUGAGCCUAAGUCGGAUUAGCUAGUUGGUGGGGUAAAGGCCUACCAAGGCGACGAUCUGUAGCGGGUCUGAGAGGAUGAUCCGCCACACUGGGACUGAGGCACGGACCAGACUACUACGGGGGGCAGCAGUGGGGAAUAUUGGACAAUGGGGGGAACCCUGAUCCAGCCAUGCCGCGUGUGUGAAGAAGGCCUUAUGGUUGUAAAGCACUUUAAGCGAGGAGGAGGCUACUGAGACUAAUACUCUUGGAUAGUGGACGUUACUCGCAGAAUAAGCACCGGCUAACUCUGUGCCAGCCGCCGCGGUAA
rnacentral:rRNA from 1 species